UGUUUGAUGUUCUAACGUUGGCCCCUGAUCGGGGUUGCGGACAGUGUCUGGUGGGUAGUUUGACUGGGGCGGUCUCCUCCUAAAGAGUAACGGAGGAGCACGAAGGUUGGCUAAUCCUGGUCGGACAUCAGGAGGUUAGUGCAAUGGCAUAAGCCAGCUUGACUGCGAGCGUGACGGCGCGAGCAGGUGCGAAAGCAGGUCAUAGUGAUCCGGUGGUUCUGAAUGGAAGGGCCAUCGCUCAACGGAUAAAAGGUACUCCGGGGAUAACAGGCUGAUACCGCCCAAGAGUUCAUAUCGACGGCGGUGUUUGGCACCUCGAUGUCGGCUCAUCACAUCCUGGGGCUGAAGUAGGUCCCAAGGGUAUGGCUGUUCGCCAUUUAAAGUGGUACGCGAGCUGGGUUUAGAACGUCGUGAGACAGUUCGGUCCCUAUCUGCCGUGGGCGCUGGAGAACUGAGGGGGGCUGCUCCUAGUACGAGAGGACCGGAGUGGACGCAUCACUGGUGUUCGGGUUGUCAUGCCAAUGGCACUGCCCGGUAGCUAAAUGCGGAAGAGAUAAGUGCUGAAAGCAUCUAAGCACGAAACUUGCCCCGAGAUGAGUUCUCCCUGAGACUUUAAGUCUCCUGAAGGAACGUUGAAGACGACGACGUUGAUAGGCCGGGUGUGUAAGCGCAGCGAUGCGUUGAGCUAACCGGUACUAAUGAACCGUGAGG
rnacentral:rRNA from 1 species